rnacentral:lncRNA from 1 species
GAUUCCCUACUGCUGAAGAGAAAAUGCGAAGGUUCCUCUCCACUAGCUGUGCUUUGGCCAGAACAACCGAGUAAGUACUAAAUUUAAACACAUACAGCGACUGUCUGAUCUCAUGACGGAGACCCCACUCAAACUUUCUUACCUUUCUGCCUUCAUCCAUCAUGCUCUCAGGAGAAUACCAGCCCAACUCUGGGAACCUUCGGGUAUAUUCUGAUACAGUCAUGUCACCCUAGACCAGGUGUUCAAACUCUAUUUUCUUCAGAUGUCGGAGAUGUUCUGGGAGGUACUUUGCAUUAAAGGCCAUCAAGAAUUGUUCCCAAGUGACUGGAAUAAGGAGGGCGGCCUGCUUGAGUUGCCACUAACGGUCUACCUCUCCCACCAGCAUGUAGGUGGGAAGUAUGACUCUCUGUUCGAGAAUCACCCCAAGAGUC